UUUUUCUUUGUGGAAGUGGGUCAGCGGUGGGUCCGGGUCCGGGAUCGGGAUCGGGAUCGGGAUCGAGAUCGGGAUCGAGAGGGGGUCCUCGCCCCCUUGGACAGGGAGCCGGAGACGGAUUAUUCUCUGCGGGGCAACACCAACAAUUUCCCUUCAACCUGCGGUGAGAGGUUUAUUGGAAGAAAAACCCCAACUGGAAGCAAACCAUGGCUAAAGAUGUGGGAAUAGCAACAAGUGAACUGGCCCGAGGACUGAGAGCAUCAACUGGAGAGAACAACACUGAAUCAGCUGACUUGGAGUUCCCAGUGAGUCAGUGAGGAGGAAGUUUGUUAGACCUGCGGUGAGAGGUUUCUUGGAAGAAAAACCCCAACUAGAAGCAAACCACGGCUAAGACAAGGGAACAGCAACAAGUGAACCAGCCCGAGGACUGAGAGCACCGACUGGAGAGGACCCAUCUGACUCAGGGUUUCCAUUGAUUCAGUCAGGAGAAAGUCUGG